rnacentral:rRNA from 1 species
UACGUAGGGUGCAAGCGUUGUCCGGAAUUAUUGGGCGUAAAGAGCUCGUAGGCGGUUUGUCACGUCUGCUGUGAAAACUCGGGGCUUAACUCCGGGCCUGCAGUGGGUACGGGCAGACUAGAGUGCGGUAGGGGAGACUGGAAUUCCUGGUGUAGCGGUGAAAUGCGCAGAUAUCAGGAGGAACACCGGUGGCGAAGGCGGGUCUCUGGGCCGAUACUGACGCUGAGGAGCGAAAGCGUGGGGAGCGAACAGG